ACCCCAAAUUAACAGCCCUGGCUGCUAAAAUUUUGUGCAUGUUUGGGACAACCUACCUUUGUGAACAAAUUUUCUCAGUAAUGAGUAUCAAUAAAACAAAAAUGCGUUCAAGGCUCACACACAAGCACUUAAAUGACAUUCUGAAAGUGACAGCUAGUCAGGACAUGACACCUGAUGUUGAUGCACUUGUGCAGGCCAAAAGAUGCCAAGUUUCAGCAACAAAAACAAGUCCAGACUAGACUAACGUCUUGAAAAUGCUGCCUUGCAUUUUGAAUUUGCAGAUACUGUUUCCAUUAAAAGAAUAGAGCUCUGUGAAAAUGAAUACUUACUGUGGUGAUGAAUGUGUGUGAAAAAUGUGCAAUGUAAUGUUAGCCUUUCUUUAUAAGUCUCUUGUAAUCAUAAAGUUCAUUACUAUAAUUUUCAACACCAGUUACUUAAAGUUUGUGCAAUUUUGUGAAAUGUUUUGUAAAAGUGUUGUUCAAUACAUUUUGAGUUAAAUUUCAAAUUUCACAAUGUCCUUGUGCUUCUUUACACCAAAACAAAGGGAAGACAUGAUAUUUUGGUUAUUUAUAGCUAAGUAUGCUAUAACUUUAAUGGUCCGGCCCACGACGUCUACCUAGGGGUCAUAUGUGGCCCGCGAUGUGAAAUGAGUUUGACACCCCUGACGUAGAGGAUGUUUCAGCUUGUAGUUUUUACAAAGCACCACCAGGGAGCAGUGCAGACAAACACAAACAUUUCCUCUGGUAGAUUCAUUUUAAACCACUAAAGGUUUAAUCUUGCUUUAACAUGUACAUCGAAAAUAGCUUUCAUUACUCUAGACCAAGAAUUCUGUUCACCAUACAGUUUCUACUUUUUUUUUGUGGCACAUUUAGAAGCCUCAGAUCAUCAAAUUUUAACACUGAACAAAGUUAGUUUGAGUAAAUACAAGAAAAAAAAAUGCUGUUUUAGAAUGUCGACUCAUUUUUGAAAAAAAUCAAUGAUAUCUAUCAGUUUGGAAAAAGCUACAGAGGUUUCUGAAGGCUUCGGACUCCAGAGAACAACAGCGGAAAUGAAGAAAACAUGGCUGAGAAGCACACCAGGACUUGUCUUCUUGAUGACCAGCAUUUGACUACAGACAUAAAUUGCUAACCAGCUCUAGAGCUGGUAGGUUACAAACCUCUGAUCUAGCAGGUAACAAUAGCUAGGAAUUCUUUCCAGCAGGAUGUUGAAAUAUGUCUUGCUUAACCAGAAAUCCCUGAUUUGACCUUAGAUAGCCUGGCAUGUUACACAAGCUCUUCUUUUGUCAUUUCAGAGGUCAUGUUUUAGUAUGCCUGACUCAUUUUGUUGCAAUCUGCCUCCACUGUGACAUUUUUUGUGUCUGUAUGUUUUGCAGUCCAUUUACCACCGCCCCCAACGGAUUUCACCUGGGGGGCAAUAAAGGAUAUCUUAUAAUUGACAGCUGCGCUCACCCUUCGACGCCUGUUCAGCAAGGAGAAAAAAAUAUUAUUUUACACACCCCUGUUCCUAAUUUGCGUAGGGCUGUGCAAAGCACCAACCAUAACAAGAAUAUGGAACCAUAGCAGAGAUGGAAAAACUGAGUAGGAGGGUCUUUUAUGAGGAUCAUCUGAAGAGAACCACAUUAUUCUGUUUGUCGACUCUAAUCCUGAACGUGUCUCAAGGUAGUUGUAUUUUCCGAUUACUCUGUCUAUGUCUCUCAUUGUUUAGUUUUCUUACAACAGCUGCGUUGCACCUACAGAAAUACACCGCACAGAGCCAGGAAGAGGGUCUUAACGCUGUCAAUCAUCCCCAUGUAGGCGCUUCUCUGCUACUCUACUGCUACUUCCCAACACCAAAGGCUGUUGUGAAUGCUCGGGUUAGUUAGCAUAGCCACUGAUGAUGAAGUAUAAACAGUUUUCCUGCAUGUACACGGUCAUGAUUGACAACACUAAAACCAUCCUUAUUGGUUGUUUUUGAUUGGUUUAAUUCUACCAAAGAAAACAUUUUCUAUUCCACCCCCACGGCGACGACCUGCCUGACCCGUCAAAAGGUGGGAUGGAGACUUGCGGCUAAAACUAUUUGGACCUCGCAACAUUUUUCCAGCUGGUUAUAGUCCAGUUUUAGCUAGUCCUAGUGAAUUGUAGCCUCAGUUUCCUUAGGUAGCAGGCAUUUGUUGCAUCUUACAUUUUAUUAUAGCUUACUUACUGAAUAGAAAACUAUUUUAGCAAAGAUUAGCAUGUCCCUUCAUCAACAAUUCAUUUUAUGCCUCUGGCGCAAAGUGAGACCAAGUUUCCUCUGGAACCUAUAAAGCUGGUUUGUUGUUUGGGUCUUCGGAGACGUUAGGGAGGGAAGGGGAAACGUAUCUUAGUGUGGUAUGUUGGUGCGGAUUCACCUUUAAGGUGAGUGGUGGGCGGCACCAACGUACCCUUUAAAGCCAGGUGUGUGGGGUGCGCACUCAUAUACUAUUGUUUUGAGCUGUGGAGAUGGCGUUGUGAGCUUGUGUGAUCCCGUCUUUCCUCAAGCAUCAAGUAAUGGUCUUCAGGAUUGAGGUUGUGCUGGUGCUCCCGUUUUGCUCUCUGGGAGUGCGUGUGAUCAGGCACGCGUCGUGGGCAUGGAGCUCUUAACCGAGAUCCUGAGGUGUUCGGGACUUGGCGGUGGACUGUUGUGUGGUUUUCCCCCUCCCUCCUCCUGCCGCUUACUGGUGCGCGCACCUGGCCUAAUUGUCCGUGGGGAGCACGGCCACGCCAACGCCGUUGUUUUGUCUUUACUUUUGCUUCAUGCCUUUUCAGCUGGGUGUCAUUUACCAUCCAUCCAUCCAUUUUCUGAACACCCUUGU